rnacentral:rRNA from 1 species
GAUGAACGCUGGCGGCGUGCCUAAUACAUGCAAGUCGAACGCAUUGAGAGAAGUGCUUGCACUUUUCAAUUUGAGUGGCGAACGGGUGAGUAACACGUGGGCAACCUACCUGAUAGCGGGGGAUAACGAGUGGAAACAUUCGCUAAUACCGCAUAACAAUAGAGAAGGCAUCUUCUUUAUUUAAAAGGCGCUUUCAAGCGUCACUACCAGAUGGGCCCGCGGUGCAUUAGUUAGUUGGUGGGGUGAAGGCCUACCAAGACGAUGAUGCACAGCCGAGUUGAGAGACUGAUCGGCAACAUUGGGAAAGAGACACGGCCCAAAUUCCUACGGGAGGCUGCAGUAGGGAAUCUUCCACAAUGGACGAAAGUCUGAUGGAGCAACACCGCGUGUGUGAUGAAGGCUUUAGGGUCGUAAAGCACUGUUGUAUGGGAAGAAAUGCUAGGCUAGGAAAUGAGCUUAGUUUGACGGUACCAUACCAGAAAGGGACGGCUAAAUACGUGCCAGCCGCCGCCGUAA